CUUCUCAUCUUCUUCUUCUUUUCUUGUUCUUGUUCUUGUUCUUGUUCUUCUUCCUUAUUUUCCUUUUUUCCUCUUCUUUCCUGCCGUGUUCUCCUCUUCCUCUUCUUCUCCUCCUCCUCCUCCUCUUCUUCAUCAUCAUCAUCAUCUUCUUCUUCUUCUUCCUGCUUCUACUUAUUCUUCUUUUCUUCUUCAUCUUUUUUCUACUUCUUUUAAUUAUGACUAAAUAACUAAGCCUAGCACUAAGACAGAAUAAAUCUAAUCUAAUAUAACCUACCACUAAAUCUAAUAUAUAAC
rnacentral:lncRNA from 1 species